GGCGAGGUAGCUCAGUUGGUAGAGCACAUGACUGAAAAUCAUGGUGUCGCCAGUUCAAUUCUGGCCCUCGCCACCA
rnacentral:tRNA from 1 species